rnacentral:lncRNA from 1 species
AUUCAUUCUUUGGCCUCUCUAGGCUAGUGCCUGGUGUUGUUGUAGUGUAUUGUUCACGUACCAUCUGCUCAGUUAGUAUCUUCUGAAGUUCUCAUGAAGUAGGAUUGGAGCAAGAGCAACUGUCAGUGAGCUCUGUAUCAUCUGAAGGCAGCUGUAUUCCUGAUGUCCCCGCUCGGCUCCAGGGCAGGGCAGAGUCCUCGCAGCCCGCCGCAUGCCCGAGGGGCUGCCGAACGCCCCGGGACGCAAGUCCUCAUCCAGCCUCCUCGUCCCGGCGGGCGCUGGGCGGGCGCCGCGCUCGCAGCCUCGGCGGUGCCGCGGGGAGAGAAGGAGGUG